GGCGCGCCCCGGACGUGACCUCGCGGGCGCGCGCCGGAGCCGCCCUGGGGGAGGUGUCCGUGGCCCCCCCGCACAGCUCUUCCCACACUUGGAAUUGAUUUCUGUCCGUGGACCCGAUCUUGUCUGACUCCUUGCUGGGCUGAGUUCCACAAGGAGGAGAGACAGAUUCCUGCAAGCAGAUGCCAACUUUGAAGGUCAAACUGAGGGAUGGAGCUGCUGUGGGAGGAGGCGAGAGGGUCCAACACUCGCUCCA